AAGAUAUGAAAGGAAUAUGAAUGCUUCUAUGAGCCUGAGCUAGGCCUGUAGCUUUGCCCUUGAAAAAGAGAUAAGACAGAA